GCCUUUAGGUUCGGAAUAACUCAGGGAAACUUGUGCUAAUACCGAAUGUGCCCUUCGGGGGAAAGAUUUAUCGCCUUUAGAGCGGCCCGCGUCUGAUUAGCUAGUUGGUGGGGUAAUGGCCCACCAAGGCUACGAUCAGUAGCUGGUCUGAGAGGAUGACCAGCCACAUUGGGACUGAGACACGGCCCAAACUCCUACGGGAGGCAGCAGUGGGGAAUCUUGCGCAAUGGGCGAAAGCCUGACGCAGCCAUGCCGCGUGGAUGAUGAAGGUCUUAGGAUUGUAAAAUCCUUUCACCGGUGAAGAUAAUGACUGUAGCCGGAGAAGAAGCCCCGGCUAACUUCGUGCCAGCAGCCGCGGUAAUACGAAGGGGGCUAGCGUUGCUCGGAAUUACUGGGCGUAAAGGGAGCGUAGGCGGACAUUUAAGUCAGGGGUGAAAUCCCAGAGCUCAACUCUGGAACUGCCUUUGAUACUGGAUGUCUUGAGUGUGAGAGAGGUAAGUGGAACUCCGAGUGUAGAGGUGAAAUUCGUAGAUAUUCGGAAGAACACCAGUGGCGAAGGCGACUUACUGGCUCAUUACUGACGCUGAGGCUCGAAAGCGUGGGGAGNCAACAGGAUUAGAUACCCUGGUAGUCCACGCC
rnacentral:rRNA from 1 species